AGUACUAUAGCCGACGAAUUUCAUUAUUUUAGCCGACGAAUUUCACAGGUUUAGCUGACGAAAUAAAAUUUCGUCGGCUAAAGGUAUAGGGUAUAUAAUUAAACCCAGCGCUGGGCAGCCUCCACAACGCUCCAAAAAACCCUAAAAAACCCACCACCGCCUCCUCGAGCCCACCACCGCCUCCUCGAGCCCUCCACAGCCUCCUCGAGCCGUCCUCGAGCCUCCUCCUCGAGCCAUCUCUGUUAUGCUCCAGCCCCGAUCCCUCCUCCUCUUCACCGUCCUCACUAUCUUCCUUAUCUUCGUUUUCACUUCCACCCAUCAAAAGGUAACUCUUUUCUUGACUUUGCUUGCUCUGUUUGCUUUAAUUUGCGGAUUUGGGUUGUUAAUUUGUGAUUUGCAAUGUGGGUUUGAUCGAUUUUGUUGAAAUUUCGGUGCUUUUUGACCUUUGGAAAUUUGUGGUACUAUGGAAUUUGGGAAUGAUUAAUGCUAAAUUGGGAUGGUAAUGAUUUGGAAUAUUUGAUAUGGUGGAAGGGUGGUUGUUAUAGAUGUUGAACUCUACUGGUUGAGUGGAGUCUUGGAUGUUAGGAAAGCUGCUAGGUUCUAUAGUAGUGUGAUUCUAGUUCAUUCUUAUAUAUGAAUGUAUCUUAUGCGACUGGCAUUGUAGUACAAUUCAAGUUUAGGCAUUUUGUUUCUGGAAGCAUCGUUUCUAGUUGUGGGUUCUUACCCGAUUUGUGAUCUGUAUGUUCAGGGUAUUAGUUGCUGGUUUGUUGAAAAUAGAGACAAGGUUUUAGAAAGAAAGAUUGGGUUGGCUAGGAUUAAUAUUUCUUGCUGACUUGAUGAAGAUAGAGACUGGUUUCUAGAAAUCAAGAAUUGGGCGGUUAGUCGGGGGAUUAAUAUUACGGUAGUGUCUUGGUUAUUGUCUUUGUUAAGGAUACUAAUAUGGGACGACUCAAUUUGGCUGCAGGUUAUUUCAGUUCUUUUGGUUGACCAGCACCGUUUUGGUGGUCUGUAGUUCUAUCUUCAUUUUAUUGAAUAUUGGUUUUGUUACUUGUGCUUUGUGCUAAUUUUAAAUCUAUAAACAAAUGAAUUUGUAGUUUCUAAUUUGAAUCAUUUGAUUAUGUAGGAGGAAGAGAAAGUAGAAGAAGCACCUGAAAUAACCCAUAGAGUAUACAUGGAUAU
rnacentral:lncRNA from 1 species